UAUAGCAAUAGCUACUUGCAUCAUACUAGAGAUGAUGCAAGAUCGACUAUGUCGAAUAAAAUUCUAGGUAGAAUUAUGAUAAUGACAUUGUCUGCCUAUGUGUCUUGACCAAAUUACGUGCCAGCAGUCGCGGUAAUACGUAGAAGACUAGUGUUAUUCAUGUUUAAUCGGUUUAAAGGGUACCUAGACGGUAAAUCAAGCCUAAAACUAAAAAAAAUAAAUGAAGGGACUAAUUUACUAGAGUUACUUAUGAGGGGGUAUUAAAGUACUGCUGGUGUAGAGAUGAAAUUCUGUCAUACCUCUUUUCAAUAGAAAAACAAUGGCACAGGUAUAGGCGAAGGCAUCCCCUUAUGUGAUAACUGACGUUGAGGGACGAAGGCUUUGUGUAGCGAACAGGAUUAGAUACCCCAGUAGUCAAAGCAGAAAAUGAUGAAUGUCAUAGAUUAGAUAUAUAAGUUUAUUCUAUAAAUGAAAGUGUAAGCAUUCCACCUCAAGAGUAAUUUGGCAACAUUGGAACUGAAAUCAUUAGACCGUUUCUGAAACCAGUAGUGAAGUAUGUUGUUUAAUUUGAUGAUCCGCAAAAAACCUUACCACAAUUUGAAUAUUUAUAUCUUUUAUUGUUUUUUCUUCUUCUUAUUAUUCAAUUAUUGAAGAAUAAGAAAAAUAGGCAAUAAGAUAC
rnacentral:rRNA from 1 species